rnacentral:tRNA from 1 species
GGAGAUUUAGCUCAGUGGCAUAAGCACCUGCCUUGUAAGCAGGCAGUCGUGGGUUCAAUCUCCG